rnacentral:lncRNA from 1 species
AUUCGCCGGCACUGCGCUGAACUCCGCGGCGGCCGCGCGUCGCUCCCGCUGUUCCUCCCGCUGCCGCGGCCUCUGUGGGCCUCCUUCACCCCAGUGGGAAGAGAGUUGUUAUUGCCCGCCGUUACCAUAGCAACUGCAGCCACGCGCUGGGAGCCGAGUCUGCGAACUAGGCCUGGCGCGCUCCUGGAUCCCCUUGGGCUUUGCCUGCUGCCUCCAGCGGAGACUGGAGAAGUGGUAUACUGUCUGAGCAGAGCAGAUAAGAACUUGGCCAUACUGUUCACAGUGUUACAGCUUGAGGUAAGAUACGCUCAUGGUUAGUACCGCAUAAAAUAAGUGUAAAUAACUUUUUUUUCUUUUCUUGGCUUUUUAGGGCUACACCCGCGGCAUAUGGAGGU